AAUAAAACGUUAAAAAAGAAGAAUCUUCAAAAUGUAGCAUCUUAGCGAGCUGACGACGGUGGGAGGUCAGUAUGUAAUUUGAAGGUUGAUCACUUUUGAGUGCUAGAUUGAAAUUCAGUAAAUCUAGUCGGUUGGCAACCGUUAAGUGCUACAAAGAGGAAGACCAUUUAAUGGUCUUUAAAUUUGGGUGGUACCGCGAAGACUUCGUCCCUGUU
rnacentral:ncRNA from 1 species